rnacentral:rRNA from 1 species
UGCGAGUCACGUAGCAAUACGUGGCAUACGGCUCAGUAACACGUAGUCAACAUGCCCAGAGGACGUGGAUAACCUCGGGAAACUGAGGAUAAACCGCGAUAGGUCAUAAUAUCUGGAAUGAUUUAUGGUUUAAAUCUAUAUGGCCUCUGGAUUGGACUGCGGCCGAUCAGGCUGUUGGUGAGGUAAUGGCCCACCAAACCUAAAACCGGUACGGGCUCUAAGAGGAGAAGCCCGGAGAUGGGCACUGAGACAAGGGCCCAGGCCCUAUGGGGCGCAGCAAGCGCGAAAACUCUGCAAUAAGCGAAAGCUUGACAGGGUUAUUCUGAGUGAUUUCCGCUAAGGAAAUCUUUUGGCACCUCUAAAAAUGGUGCAGAAUAAGGGGUGGGCAAGCCUGGUGUCAGCCGCCGCGGUAAUACCAGCACCCCGAGUGGUCGGGACGAUUAUUGGGCCUAAAGCAUCCGUAGCCGGUUCUACAAGUCUUCCGUUAAAUCCACCUGCUUAACAGAUGGGCUGCGGAGGAUACUAUGGAGCUAGGAGGCGGGAGAGGCAAGCGGUACUUAGUGGGUAGGGGUAAAAUCCGUUGAUCCAUUGAAGACCACCAGUGGCGAAGGCGGCUUGCCAGAACGCACUCGACGGUGAGGGAUGAAAGCUGGGGGAGCAAACCGGAUUAGAUACCCGGGUAGUCCCAGCUGUAAACGAUGCAGACUCGGUGAUGAAUAGGCUUCGUGCCUAUUCAGUGCCGCAGGGAAGCCGUUAAGUCUGCCGCCUGGGGAGUACGGUCGCAAGACUGAAACUUAA